rnacentral:lncRNA from 1 species
AUUGGAACAAUCUGAAUUAUGGAAAUCUAUGUUAUCAAAUUCUUGAUCUUCAUCAAGAUUGUAUACUAUCUCACAACUUUCUUCCUCAAUUUUGCUAACCUUCAGACAUGGCAAGCACAAAAUUCCCCUAGUAUCAUUCUCAUGUGAAGUGGGCUCAGGAUCUGGAACCAGCUGAGAAACAGUUUCCCUUAUCUUUUGAUCGUGAAGCCCUUAAUAUCUCUAACAUUUGUACCAGAUUUUGGACUAUCAAGUCUAUUUUGUGGUUCACUUCCAGCUUCAAUUCCAGCUGGUCAUCUUCAUUCUUUCGUUGAUUUUUCAUUAUUAAGUGAAUGAGGAAGCAGAAGAAGUGAAUUUCAAGAAAGAACAACAUGUGAUUCAAGAACUCAAGAAAUGAGAGAGAAGGAACAAUGUUUUUUCUAAAAAUAUAAAUGGAACCCCAGAAGUGAGAUUAGGUAAGAAACGAAACAGAAAUGAAAGAAAGAAUAAGAGAAAACAGAAGAAUUUGAGAGAAACAGAAGAAGAAAGAGUAGAAAUUAGGAUAUUAACAAUAAGAUCAAGGCGCUUGCACAGAACAGGAAGAGGGCGCCAUUGAAAUUCUUCCCUUUUGGGAUAAGCUUUUCUUGUCACUAAAUUUUCAGCAUGGACAUCUUUAUGUUGCUGUUCCAGAAAUUUUAUUUAAGGAAAUCAACCAUGAGCAUUAAAUUUGCAAAUAGAAAGUAAUUGUCAAGAAAUAUGUUACAUAGCAGACUUGUAAUUCCCUUUGAAACAGAGAAAUGGGGGAAAGAGAGAAAUAGAAGUAGAUUGGGUUGAGAAAAGAAAUAGAAAGGGGAGAUGUAAUAGAGAGAAUUAGAGAAGAGGAGAAAGCAGAAAUAGGGAGAAGGAGUUUAUCUUGAUUACUAAUGAUUUGGAUAUCUUUCUCUUUACAAGUAAGUUUCUAUUUAUACUAUUUUGAAUCGCAUAACUACAGUUAAAAUCUACUAUUUCUUUAUUCCUUGGUCAUAACAUUCCCCACCCCUUGAAAUCAUUCUUGUCCCCAAGAAUGAAUAAGGAAAGCAGCAAUAUAACUAUGAAACUGUUGCCUCCAUAUGUAAUAUAUUCCAACAUCAAGUGAUUGCAGGAAGGACUUUUGUUGCAGCUGCUUGGAGUGGCAGUUGGCAAACAAAUAGCUGCAGCAAGGGCCUGAUUUUCUUCCUCCGUCGUCUCCUCAUUUCAAACUCAGUUUUCUUUUAGCAGUAAAUGACUGCAGUAUCCCAAAGAAUCCCUCUUCUUUCUCUGCCUUCUCCUAAUUUCAAACCUCUCUUCUUUAAGGAUCACAAGAUAAUUCAGCUGCACUUUCAAACUACAAAGCCACAAGAUUGAUACCAUCUUUCACAAUGCCUUCCUUCCCUUGUUUCCUUUUUUUUCCUUAUCAAGAACAGCCUCAGCAACAAGAAAAGAUUUUGACGUCAAUAUUCUUGGAUUAGAAUCAAAUUUAUCCAACAAUGCCCCACGCUUAUUCUCAAGAAUUUCAGCAAAGUGAAGGACCAAAAAAUAUUGAAUUGAAGAGUCUACAUCUGCAUCAAAUAUUUGAAAAGAAUUUAAUUUGGAUGCAAGAACCUGAUUAGUCUUCCCAUCAGAAUCAUGUUCUUGAAGAUUAGGACAACCAAAAUCCAUAGAACUUUCUUCGUCUUUUGCAAGACCAUCGUUAUCAUCAGAAUCUAGAUUCUCAUUUUCAAGAUUGAAACAAUCUGAAUUAUGGAAAUCUAUGUUAUCAAAUUCUUGAUCUUCAUCAAGAUUGGAUAUUAUCUCACAACUUUCUUCCUCAAUUUUGCUAACCUUCAGACAUGGCAAGCACAAAAUUCCCCUAGUAUCAUUCUCAUGCGAAGUGGGCUCAGGAUCUGGAACCAGCUGAGAAACAGUUUCCCUUAUCUUUUGAUUGUGAAGCCCUUAAUAUCUCUAACAUUUGUUCCAGCUUUUGGACUAUCAAGUCUAUUUUCUGGUUCACUUCUAGCUUCAAUUCCAGCUGGUCAUCUUCAUUCUUUUGUUGAUUUUUCAUUAUUAAGUGAAUGAGGAAGCAAAAGAAGUGAAUUUCAAGAAAGAACAAAAUGUGAUUCAAGAACUCAAGAAAUGAGAAAGAAGGAACAAUGUUUUUUCUAAAAAUAUAAAUGGAACCCCAGAAGUGAGAUUAGGUGAGAAACGAAACAGAAAUGAAAGAAAGAAUGAGGGAAAACAGAAGAAUUCAAGAGAAACAGAAAAAUAAAGAGUAGAAAUUAGGCAGAAAUAGAGAAAGAAAGAGAUGAGGAAUAGAAGAAGAAAUAGAGAGAAAAGCAGAAUGUAGAUGAGAGAGAAUAGAGAGAAUUAGAGAGGGAAAAUGAUUAGAAUCUUGAUAUUUCUUGGAUCUCCAAGAAAUUCAAUAAAGAAGAAGAAUUAUAGAAGGAAGAGCAGAAGAUAUAUGGAUUCCAAGAAAAAGGAAGCAGCAGAAGAGAAUAUGAGAAAAAC